rnacentral:rRNA from 1 species
CCUACGGGAGGCAGCAGUGGGGAAUAUUGGACAAUGGGCGAAAGCCUGAUCCAGCAAUGCCGCGUGAGUGAAGAAGGCCUUCGGGUUGUAAAGCUCUUUUACCCGGGAAGAUAAUGACUGUACCGGGAGAAUAAGCUCCGGCUAACUCCGUGCCAGCAGCCGCGGUAAUACGGAGGGAGCUAGCGUUGUUCGGAAUUACUGGGCGUAAAGCGUACGUAGGCGGCUUGGUAAGUCAGAGGUGAAAGCCCACGACUCAAUCGUGGAACUGCCUUUGAGACUGCUUCGCUUGAAGAUGGGAGAGGUUAGUGGAAUUCCGAGUGUAGAGGUGAAAUUCGUAGAUAUUCGGAAGAACACCAGUGGUGAAGGCGGCUAACUGGACCAUUCUUGACGCUGAGGUACGAAAGCGUGGGGAGCAAACAGGAUUAGAUACCCUGGUAGUCCACGCCGUAAACGAUGAUAACUAGCUGUCGGGGCUCUUGGAGCUUCGGUGGCGCAGCUACGCAUUAAGUUAUCCGUCCGUCGGGUAGGUACGGCCGCGAACGGUUAAAACGUUAAAGGUAAGUUAGUACGGCGUGAGACGUCGCCGAACGACGACGACGAGGGAGUAGG